AUGAUCUGUUGCAAUGCAAAUUUGCCAUUCCUGUAUAAAAUAGCAGACUACCUUGUAGCAAGGAGGGAGCAAGAAUCCCCAGGUGGACCGGCCUAUAAUCACUGGCAGCUUCUUAGUUACCUGGUCAAAACUGGCACCAUGAUGGACUUGUCUGGCAGGAAUCGGAGCUCUGAAGGGGAUGCAGUUGCUGUGGAAGUUGCCAAUCAGGACGGACAGUUGCCUCUUCAUCGUGCACACCCGCUCUGUAUUUGUAGCCUCAUGAGGUAGACAGCCGUGGCUGCGCGGGCGCAGGAGGGCCUAGAGGACCUAUCCCACGUUGAAGGUCAGGAAGGGCGGCGGAGAGGAGAUACGCCUUGUCCAAGGUAUGGAGCAAUGGCUGUGCUUUGCUGGAGCAGC
rnacentral:lncRNA from 1 species